rnacentral:lncRNA from 1 species
UCUCCAAUUUGGCAACGCCUAAUUUUAAGUCAAGCGCGAUUCUUUCCCCUUCCCUCCCGAGUCUUUGUGUUAAUCCGUCUGCUAGCCUUCGUACGACGUUAAGACCACGCUGGUUUCACUGUCGAAAGAGCUAGUUACUGUCACGAUUAUUAUUCUUUUCUGUGUUUCGUGAAGCCAUUUAUUCAGCUUUUUCAGCUCGUUUUCUGUUCUGAGCUGUCAGUUCAAACCCUAUUCUGAGUGCUUUUGCUUGCCUAGCAUUGGCUUCAUAUCUAUAUUCCCUGUCUGUGUGCAUAUUGGUCUGGGUGACCACUCACAUUUUCUCGUGUCACCCCAGACAUCACACGUAUGUUAGUUCACUGUAUGUCAACACAGUUUGAGUCCUACACAAAUUUCAUUUUGUGUCGUGCUUGACCCAGCAUCAACUUACGAAUAAAUUAUAGGGGCUGCUUACAACAGACCCCAGAAGAAACUCUGAAGGCUCUCACUAAAU